rnacentral:rRNA from 1 species
CCUGCCCUUCAGAGGGGACAACAGUUGGAAACGACUGCUAAUACCGCAUACGAUCUAACCUCGGCAUCGAGGAUAGAUGAAAGGUGGCCUCUAUUUAUAAGCUAUCACUGAAGGAGGGGAUUGCGUCUGAUUAGCUAGUUGGAGGGGUAACGGCCCACCAAGGCGAUGAUCAGUAGCCGGUCUGAGAGGAUGAACGGCCACAUUGGGACUGAGACACGGCCCAG